rnacentral:rRNA from 1 species
UACGGAGGGAGCUAGCGUUGUUCGGAAUUACUGGGCGUAAAGCGCGCGUAGGCGGCUUUGUAAGUUAGAGGUGAAAGCCUGGAGCUCAACUUCAGAAUUGCCUUUAAGACUGCAUCGCUUGAAUCCGGGAGAGGUGAGUGGAAUUCCGAGUGUAGAGGUGAAAUUCGUAGAUAUUCGGAAGAACACCAGUGGCGAAGGCGGACUCGCUGGACCGGCAUUGACGCUGAGGUGGCGAAAGCG